rnacentral:rRNA from 1 species
AUUGAACGCUGGCGGCAUGCCUUACACAUGCAAGUCGAACGGUAACAGGUUAAGCUGACGAGUGGCGAACGGGUGAGUAAUACAUCGGAAUGUGCCUAGCAGUUGGGGAUAGCCCGGCGAAAGCCGGAUUAAUACCGCAUACGACCUACGGGUGAAAGGGGGGGAUCGCAAGACCUGGGGCUAUUGGAGCGGCCGAUGUCAGAUUAGGUAGUUGGUGGGGUAAAAGCCUACCAAGCCUACGAUCCGUAGCUGGUCUGAGAGGACGACUAGCCACACUGGGACUGAGACACGGCCCAGACUCCUACGGGAGGCAGCAGUGGGGAAUUUUGGACAAUGGGCGAAAGCCUGAACCAGCCAUGCCGCGUGCGGGAAGAAGGCCUUCGGGUUGUAAACCGCUUUUGUCAGGGAAGAAACGCUCUGAGUUAAUACCUCGGGGUAAUGACGGUACCUGAAGAAUAAGCACCGGCUAACUACGUGCCAGCCGCCGCAGUAAAAC